rnacentral:rRNA from 1 species
GCCCUUGGGUCCGGCAUAACCCCGGGAAACUGGGGAUAAUUCCGGAUAACGCAUAUAUGCUGGAAUGCUUUAUGCGUCAAAUGGAUUCGUCUGCCCAAGGAUGGGUCUGCGGCCUAUCAGGUAGUAGUGGGUGUAAUGUACCUACUAGCCGACGACGGGUACGGGUUGUGAGAGCAAGAGCCCGGAGAUGGAUUCUGAGACAUGAAUCCAGGCCCUACGGGGCGCAGCAGGCGCGAAAACUUUACAAUGCGGGAAACCGUGAUAAGGGGACACCGAGCGCCAGCAUCAUAUGCUGGCUGUCCGGGUGUGUAAAAUACACCCGUUAGCAAGGGCCGGGCAAGACCGGUGCCAGCCGCCGCGGUAACACCGGCGGCCCGAGUGGUGAUCGUGAUUAUUGGGUCUAAAGGGUCCGUAGCCGGUUUGGUCAGUCCUCCGGGAAAUCUGACGGCUUAACCGUUAGGCUUUCGGAGGAUACUGCCAGGCUUGGAACCGGGAGAGGUAAGAGGUACUACAGGGGUAGGAGUGAAAUCUUGUAAUCCCUGUGGGACCACCUGUGGCGAAGGCGUCUUACCAGAACGGGUUCGACGGUGAGGGACGAAAGCUGGGGGCACGAACCGGA